rnacentral:misc_RNA from 1 species
AAGUCGUAACAAGGUAUCCGUAGGUGAACCUGCGGAUGGAUCAUUAUAGGAUGAUGGGUGAUUGUGAGUGGUUUUAUUAAUAGUUUGAGCGGUGUUGGUUGGGAAGCGAAGCAGGAUUGCCAAGCAAGACAGCCAACAUUGCCUCACGUUAAACUCUAUAAAUCUAACAAUUACAUACAACAAAAAACAACUUUUAGCAACGGAUCUCUUGGCUCUC